AUUGAACGCUGGCGGUAUGCUUAAGACAUGCAAGUCGAACGGUAACAGACCUUCGGGUGCUGACGAGUGGCGGACGGGUGAGUAACACGUGGGAAUCUACCUUGUAGUGGGGGAUAAGCCAGGGAAACUUGGACUAAUACCGCAUACGCCCUAAGGGGGAAAGGAGCAAUUCGCUAUAAGAUGAGCCCGCGUCUGAUUAGCUAGUUGGUGAGGUAAAGGCUCACCAAGGCGACGAUCAGUAGCUGGUCUGAGAGGAUGACCAGCCACAUUGGGACUGAGACACGGCCCAGACUCCUACGGGAGGCAGCAGUCGGGAAUAUUGGACAAUGGGGGCAACCCUGAUCCAGCAAUACCGCGUGUGUGAAGAAGGCCUGCGGGUUGUAAAGCACUUUUAGUAGGGAAGAUAAUGACGUUACCUACAGAAAAAGCACCGGCUAAC
rnacentral:rRNA from 1 species